CCUACGGGGGGCAGCAGUGAGGAAUAUUGGUCAAUGGGCGGAAGCCUGAACCAGCCAAGUCGCGUGAGGGAAUAAGGCCCUACGGGUCGUAAACCUCUUUUGCCGGGGAGCAAGGGCCGGGACGCGUCCCGGCCCGGAGAGUACCCGGAGAAAAAGCAUCGGCUAACUCCGUGCCAGCAGCCGCGGUAAUACGGAGGAUGCGAGCGUUAUCCGGAUUUAUUGGGUUUAAAGGGUGCGUGGGCGGGCUUUUAAGUCAGCGGUAAAAAUUCAGGGCUCAACCCCGUCCGGCCGUUGAAACUGGGGGC
rnacentral:rRNA from 1 species